rnacentral:rRNA from 1 species
CAGUCGACGAUGAUCCGGUGCUUGCACCGGGGAUUAGUGGCGAACGGGUGAGUAACACGUGAGUAACCUGCCCUUGACUCUGGGAUAAGCCUGGGAAACUGGGUCUAAUACCGGAUAUGACUCCUCAUCGCAUGGUGGGGGGUGGAAAGCUUUUGCGGUUUUGGAUGGACUCGCGGCCUAUCAGCUUGUUGGUGAGGUAAUGGCUCACCAAGGCGACGACGGGUAGCCGGCCUGAGAGGGUGACCGGCCACACUGGGACUGAGACACGGCCCAGACUCCUACGGGAGGCAGCAGUGGGGAAUAUUGCACAAUGGGCGAAAGCCUGAUGCAGCGACGCCGCGUGAGGGAUGACGGCCUUCGGGUUGUAAACCUCUUUCAGUAGGGAAGAAGCGAAAGUGACGGUACCUGCAGAAGAAGCGCCGGCUAACUACGUGCCAGCAGCCGCGGUAAUACGUAGGGCGCAAGCGUUAUCCGGAAUUAUUGGGCGUAAAGAGCUCGUAGGCGGUUUGUCGCGUCUGCCGUG